rnacentral:rRNA from 1 species
UACGGAGGGAGCUAGCGUUGUUCGGAAUUACUGGGCGUAAAGCGCACGUAGGCGGCUACUCAAGUCGGGGGUGAAAGCCCGGGGCUCAACCCCGGAACUGCCCUCGAAACUAGGUAGCUAGAAUCUUGGAGAGGUCAGUGGAAUUCCGAGUGUAGAGGUGAAAUUCGUAGAUAUUCGGAAGAACACCAGUGGCGAAGGCGACUGACUGGACGAGUAUACGCUGAGGUGCGAAAGCGUGGGGGAGCAAACAGG